rnacentral:lncRNA from 1 species
AAAAGAUAUAGUCAUAUAAGCACUUGGGGUUUAAAUCAAGAUGUUUUAGCACACAACACUUUAUAUGCAUUUGGUUACCAAAAUUAUUGAAAAAGAACUUGGCAAAACUAUUAUUAAAUGUUUAGAAUAGUUUAGUGGAAAAUAAAAUGGACCAUAGACCAAAUAUCGUGCGAGAAGGAAUUAAUUUAUUGCAUGCUACGUAUACAACUCCAAUGAAGAUAAUUAACAUUUCGUUUCAUAUUUCAUAAAAUAUGUCUCUCGCAUUUUAUAAAAACAUCAGUUUUAUAGACAACAAAAACAGAAAUAUUCAAAACAGGGAGUUUAUUGAAUAACACCUUGCAUAUUGAAGAAAAAAAAGAGAAAAACAUUAAAGAAAAACUGCGAAAAGAUACUGGAACAGAACUGAAAUUAAAUGUAUCUAUCUCUGAUGUUUAGAUUGUUCUUUUUUUAACAAAAUAUUUCUCUUUUCGCGAAAAAAUUAAGUUGGACACAC